CUCUUUGUGACCCCAUGAAUCGCAGCACGCCAGGCCUCCCUGUCCAUCACAAACUCCUGGAGUUCACCCAAACUCAUGCCCGUCAGGGAAAUCAUCCUUGAGGAUCUUAUGAAGACCUUCUCAUGAACUAAGCAUGAAGCUUUACUGCAUGUGUCCCAGAUCUCUUCAGUGGUGUCUGACUCCGUGAUGCUAUGGACUACCAGGCUCCUCUGUCGAUGGGAUUCUACAGAAAAGAAUACGGGAGUCGAUUGCCAUGCCCUCAUCUGAAGCAUUACUUUUGGGAGUUUAUUUGAAAAUAUGCUCCUUUACUCAAGUCCACUCACCUUCUUCCAUAACCAGCAGGUAUUUCUACCAGUGAGUGAUUCUAUGCAAAGAAUUUUUAAAUGGAAGACAUAGUUCAGAAGUAAAGUAUGCUUAAAAUAUUUAGUCUAGAUCUCCCUAAACUCUUUCUAUUAUGUUGUAUCCUUCUUUUCCUUCAUUCAGUGUUACUAUAUAUUAUUUUAUGUAGACAUGUCCUAGUGUCCUCCAAAGUUAGAAAUUAUUUUAUUCAUCGUUCUUGGUCUUACUACAGCACUGAGUAUACACUCAAUAAAUAGCACAUUGUUUAAAAAACAAAAC